rnacentral:rRNA from 1 species
UACAGAGGUCCCGAGCGUUGUUCGGAAUCACUGGGCGUAAAGCGCACGUAGGCGGAUUGUUAAGUCAGGGGUGAAAGCCUGGAGCUCAACUCCAGAACUGCCUUUGAUACUGGCAAUCUCGAGUCCGGAAGAGGUAAGUGGAACUCCGAGUGUAGAGGUGAAAUUCGUAGAUAUUCGGAAGAACACCAGUGGCGAAGGCGGCUUACUGGUCCGGUACUGACGCUGAGAUGCGAAAGCUAGGGGAGCAAACGGG